UUAUUUUAAAUAAACAAAACUUGUUCUUUAGAAAAACUCGUUAGAAAACGUUUUAUAAAAGUGAGUGAUCAGCCCCGAUUUAUCUGUUUUAUAAAUCCACCCUUCCGUAUAUCGUGUACUGAAAAAUCUGUUUCAAAGAUUCACUCUAUAUCCGAGUGAAACGGCCCAAUUCAGUCAGUCCGUUAACAUGCCUUAGCGGUGGGGGAGGGACAGGGGAAGGUGGUGCAUUCAUUUCCUGGCCUGCAACGACUGCUUGCACAAGAGCGCCUGUGGGUGGGCCCAUGAUCCUGGUCUUCUGGUAACCAUGCCUAAUGAAGUGCAUCUACAAAAACACCUUCAGUAGACAUCAUAUUAAUGGUGAAGGACUGAAUACUUUCCUCCCUAAGAUUGGGAACAAGGACAGAGAUCAUGUAUACUACUUCUCUACUAUAACUCAUGCAAUAUACGCGGUCAGACAAUUAAGUUCUCAAGCUCAUCCUAGGAAAAGUGCUACAUACCUCAUUGCUGACUAUCACUGCAGACACCU